AACGAACGCUGGCGGCAUGCCUAACACAUGCAAGUCGAACGAGACCUCCGGGUCUAGUGGCGUCUGGGUGUGUCACGCGUGGGAACCUGCCCUUAGGUAUGGAAUAACUAUACGAAUGGGGUGCUAAUACCGGAUAAUGUCUUCGGACCAAAGAUUUAUUGCCUCUGGAUGGGCACGCGUUGGAUUAGCUAGUUAGUAGGGUAAUAGACUACUAAGGCGUCGAUCCAUCGCUGGUCAAAGAGGAUGAUUAGCCACACUGGAAGUGAGACACGGCCCAGACUCCUACGGGAGGCAGCAGAGGCGAAUAUUGGACAAUGGGCGAAAGCCUGAUACAUCAAUGCCUCGUAAGUGAUGAAUGCUUGAGAAUAGUAAAGCUCUAUUAACCGGGAUGAUAAUGACAGUACCGUGAUAAUAAGCCCCGGCUAACUCCGUG
rnacentral:rRNA from 1 species